rnacentral:tRNA from 1 species
AUUUAAAUAGUUUAAUUAAAAUGCUGAUUUGUGAUGUCAGAGAUGUAUUGUAUAUUUUAAAUA